rnacentral:rRNA from 1 species
UCAGAACGUCGUGAGACAGUUCGGUCUGUAUCCGUCGUGGGCGUUGGAGUAUUGAAGGGAGCCGUUCCUAGUACGAGAGGACCGGAAUGGACUGACCUCUUGUGUACCGGUUGUUCCGCCAGGGGCAGCGCCGGGUAGCGACGUCAGGAAGGGAUAACCGCUGAAAGCAUCUAAGUGGGAAGCCCCCCCUGAGAUGAGUACUCCCAGACCUUCGGGUCUCAGAAGGGCCGUGCGAGACGAGCACGUUGAUAGGCGGCAGGUGGAAGUGUGGCAACACAUGUAGCCGAGCCGUACUAAUCGCCCGAGUGGCUUGACUCAC